GACGAACGCUGGCGGCGUGCUUAAUACAUGCAAGUCGAACGGAAAGGCCCUGCUGUUGUUGGGUGCUCGAGUGGCGAACGGGUGAGUAACACGUGAGUAACCUGCGCUUAACUGUGGGAUAACUGCAGGAAACUGGGGCUAAUACCGGAUAGGAGCUCCUGCUGCUUGUUGUGGGUUGGAAAGUUUCGGCGGUUGGGGAUGGACUCGCGGCUUAUGGGCUUGUUGGUGGGGUAGUGGCUUACGAAGGUUUUGACGGGUAGGCGGCAUGAGAGGGUGACCGGCGACAUUGGGACUGAGGGACGGACCAGACGGGUACGGGAGGCAGCGGUGGGGAGUAUUGCGGAGUGGGGGGGAGCGUGAUGCAGCGGCGCCGCGUGCGGGAUGACGGGCUUCGGGUUGUGAACCGCUGUGGCCUGUGACGAGGCGUGAGUGACGGUAAUGGGUAAAGAAGCACCGGCUAACUACGUG
rnacentral:rRNA from 1 species